GCGGGGAUGGUGGAAUUGGUAGACACGCCAGCUUGAGGUGCUGGUGCUGCGAGGCGUGGCCGUUCAAGUCGGCUUCUCCGCA
rnacentral:tRNA from 1 species